rnacentral:lncRNA from 1 species
AGGAAACACACUGAAAGCUUCGGUGGCGGGUAGAUCCUCCCCGCGACCUGCGGUCUGGUUCCAGAGCCCCGGGAGAAACGACGCCCGUCAUCUCCUGCGCCCCACCAGCUCCCCAGCCGCUGGGCGCACGCAGGUGCUGAGCGAGCAGCGGAGAAGCGGGGCAGCUCCUGCGUCCCGGCACAGCCCUCGGCGGCCAUCCGAGGGCUGUUUGCAGUGCAAGCCCUCCGCAUGAAUACCGGAGGAUGUUACCAGUAGUCCCUUGCCUCCCUAGAGGGUUAUGAGAAUAAAUACGGUGAAGAAAAAAAGAACCGGAGACCAAGAAGCUAGAAAAUCGGAGAUUGCUUUUGCGUACUGAAAACCCAGAAGCUUCCCAUCCUCGCCUGCUGCCCUGGGCUCUGCUGUCGCCUUCGACUGCUCCUCCCCGUGCCCUCUCCCUGCUGUCGCCCCAUCCCGGCCGCGUUUUGGCUCUCGGAGGAGGUGCUGGAGCCUCUCCGGAGCAGCCCGGGGACGGGCAGGGAUCCGAGAGCCAGGAAAUCCCGAUUUCUGCCUCCACACCUGAAGCCGAGCCCUUUCCGCAGCCUCCCCGUGCCUUCCCGUGUGUCUUCGUCCCACCAGCACGUGGCCGCCCCGGCUGGAUGCUGCCUGCUUCCUGCGCGGGGCUGCGGGCGGCGGUGCCGUGGGGCUGCUGCUGGGGCACCCGCGGGCUUCCAGCGGGGCCGCCACGCGACGUUACCUCCACGCAAAGCCCGUCAGGACAUUUCUGAGGGGGUUUUAAGGUUUGCCAUAAAAAAAUGGGACUCCACUGACCCAAAGCUCGGUCUCAGGUGUGCGGGUGCAGCCGGGGCUCGGGAGCACCGCAGGCGCCAGCCUCCAGCUGCAGCAGGAGCUGCCCGAAAAUGCCGAUCAGAAACCUGCCCAAACCGGGAUUUACAAUAUCUUGGUUGACAAAUUUUAUUCGUUUCUUUCUUUUUUUUUUUUUCUCCUUCCUGGGGAAGUUU